AUUGAACGCUGGCGGCAGGCUUAACACAUGCAAGUCGAGCGGGGUGAGGUGCUUCGGUACUGAUCCUAGCGGCGGACGGGUGAGUAAUGCUUAGGAAUCUGCCAUUUAGUGGGGGACAACAUUCCGAAAGGAAUGCUAAUACCGCAUACGUCCUACGGGAGAAAGCAGGGGAUCUUCGGACCUUGCGCUAAAUGAUGAGCCUAAGUCGGAUUAGCUAGUUGGUGGGGUAAAGGCCUACCAAGGCGACGAUCUGUAGCGGGUCUGAGAGGAUGAUCCGCCACGCUGGGACUGAGACACGGCCCAGACGCCUACGGGAGGCAGCAGUGGGGAAUAUUGGACAAUGGGCGGAAGCCUGAUCCAGCCAUGCCGCGUGUGUGAAGAAGGCCUUUUGGUUGUAAAGCACUUUAAGCGAGGAGGAGGCUACCUGGAUUAAUACUCUGGGAUAGUGGACGUUACUCGCAGAAUAAGCACCGGCUAACUCUGUGCCAGCCGCCGCGGUAAGAC
rnacentral:rRNA from 1 species